rnacentral:tRNA from 1 species
GGGUGGUUAGCUCAGGUGGUUAGAGCGCAUGCUUGACAUGCAUGAGGUCAGAGGUUCAAGUCCUCUACCGCCCACCA